rnacentral:piRNA from 1 species
UAGUUAAAGCCUAUGAUGUAGUCAUGG